ACGGGUGAGUAAUAUAUCGGAACGUGCCCAGUCGUGGGGGAUAACUACUCGAAAGAGUAGCUAAUACCGCAUACGACCUGAGGGUGAAAGCGGGGGAUCGCAAGACCUCGCGCGAUUGGAGCGGCCGAUAUCAGAUUAGGUAGUUGGUGGGGUAAAAGCCCACCAAGCCAACGAUCUGUAGCUGGUCUGAGAGGACGACCAGCCACACUGGGACUGAGACACGGCCCAGACUCCUACGGGAGGCAUCAGUGGGGAAUUUUGGACAAUGGGCGCAAGCCUGAUCCAGCCAUGCCGCGUGCGGGAAGAAGGCCUUCGGGUUGUAAACCGCUUUUGUCAGGGAAGAAAAGGAACUGGUUAAUACCUGGGACUCAUGACGGUACCUGAAGAAUAAGCACCGGCUAACUACGUGCCACCAGCCGCGGUAAUACGUAGGGUGCAAGCGUUAAUCGGAAUUACUGGGCGUAAAGCGUGCGCAGGCGCUUAUGCAAGACAGAGGUGAAAUCCCCGGGCUCAACCUGGGAACUGCCUUUGUGACUGCUUACCUAGAGUACGGUAGAGGGGGAUGGAAUUCAGCGUGUAGCAAUGAAAUG
rnacentral:rRNA from 1 species